rnacentral:rRNA from 1 species
GACGAACGCUGGCGGCGUGCUUAACACAUGCAAGUCGAACGGAAAGGCCCUGCUUUUGUGGGGUGCUCGAGUGGCGAACGGGUGAGUAACACGUGAGUAACCUGCCCUUGACUUUGGGAUAACUUCAGGAAACUGGGGCUAAUACCGGAUAGGAGCUCCUGCUGCAUGGUGGGGGUUGGAAAGUUUCGGCGGUUGGGGAUGGACUCGCGGCUUAUCAGCUUGUUGGUGGGGUAGUGGCUUACCAAGGCUUUGACGGGUAGCCGGCCUGGGAGGGUGACCGGCCACAUUGGGACUGAGAUACGGCUCAGACUCCUACGGGAGGCAGCAGUGGGGAAUAUUGCACAAUGGGCGGAAGCCUGAUGCAGCAACGCCGCGUGCGGGAUGACGGCCUUCGGGUUGUAAACCGCUUUCGCCUGUGUCGAAGCGUGAGCGACGGUAAUGGGUAAAGAAGCACCGGCUAACUACGUGCCAGCCGCCGCAGUAA